GUCUGCAACCCGACUACAUGAAGCUGGAAUCGCUAGUAAUCGCGGAUCAGAAUGCCGCGGUGAAUACGUUCCCGGGUCUUGUACACACCGCCCGUCACACCAUGGGAGUCGGAAAUGCCCGAAGUCUGUGACCCAACCUUAGGGAGGGAGCAGCCGAAGGCAGGUCGGAUGACUGGGGUGAAGUCGUAACAAGGUACC
rnacentral:rRNA from 1 species